UCAAUCAGUCUUCUAAGCACAAAAGCAAA
rnacentral:piRNA from 1 species